rnacentral:lncRNA from 1 species
GAUGAACGAUAUAUAUAUAUAGUUUAUUCUUAGGUAUUCAGGAAAAAAAAAAAAAUAAUAAUAUUUUUGUCUUAAAUGUUACGUUUGUGACUUACAGGUGACGGUUGAAAGGGGGCGAAAAUAAAAAUUUAUAUCGCCUAAAAAAUCAGUCUGUCUUCCCAGGAUUAUUUGGAAUUCUAAGGAAUUCCUGAAAGAAUGCAUAUCUUAUUCGAUGCACAAUUUUUCAUCCGAAGUGAUAAUGAUAUAUCCGUUUUUUCCUCUCUCUCUCUCUCUCUCUCUCUUUCUCUCUACGUGGUAGAUCCUGUCCUAACAUAUCGAAGUGUGUAUAUAUAUACAGUAUAUAUAUAUAAAUAUAUAAAAUCCGUAUAGUCGGAUCAUAUUUUAAGAUUUUCUUGGGAUGUAGACUUCUCCCACUUAUCCACAAUUAGCCUUCUAAUAAGCGAAAUCGAGUCCGUAUUAACCGUAGAGUCGUCCGAUUGUUUUCCGUUUUACCAAUUUUGCCUUUUAUGGUAUGUGAUGACAUAGUGCAUCUCCCUCGGGGAUAUUUGAAUUAUCGAUCGAUUUUUCGCAGCUAGUUCCCGCAUCGAUGUUGCCUUACUACAUUUCUGUGACACUUCUUCAUCACGUGCUGUAAAUGUGUGUCGGAAAAGGCUGAAAAAUUGCCAGUUAUCACACUUUAUGUAAUAAAGUUGUCUGGUUAUGCAGUUGUUCUUGUCUCAUUCAUCAUCCGCAUCAUUUGGCGAGAGAACCGAUCCAUAGUUUUUUUUUUCGGUAACCGUAUAAAAUUCUCAUUAAAAGCGCUUUAGUUGCAUACCAGUAAUUGUAAUUCCGAUGCAUUCGAUUCGUCGAUUUUCCACUCAAUCGGUCUUCGUCUCCCAUAAUCCAGUGCGUUUAAAUACUGGCGCGGAAAAGUAAACUUGGUGGCGAUAAAAAGUAGCGAAUAAGGCUGUAUUUUGCAGAACUCUGUGUAUGCUAAAUUACCGUGGGAGGAAAAGCGUGACGGACUCUUACGCGAAAUUUUAAAAAUCGAAAAUUGCAACGCUAGUGACGCAUUUCCUUAACGAGUUUUAUAGCGAUUGCCGGGUAAUAACGUGUCGCGUAUGUGCGCGCGAUAUCAUCUGAAAUUCGGUUAAUUCUGUAUCUUGACUUUUUUUCCUCCCUCUAUUCGUUUCCAAUCAUUCUAGCUCCGCCAUGACGACUGGUAUUUAAAUUAGAAUAAAGCGUGUUGUUCAUCUUAUUGUGUUCGGUGCCGUAACUCGAGUCAGAUGCGUAAUGCCGUGGAUGGUAGACGAAAAAAAGAAAAAAAUGCACGUGGUUAUUAUUAGUAGGUGGCCAGGAAGUAAGAAAAAGCUGCGCUUGCAUAAAAUCGCAAUUUGCAUAAAAUGGAGCAAUAUUUUUCUUGAUUUCUCUAUCGCACGGUGACAAAAUGACAUUCUACUCUUCGAAAAUAUUUGGAAUCCGAUAUUGUAUUGACUCAGCCGUUAAACAGUUAAACACGUGUAUACAAUUAGAAUCUUAUCUUUAAUCUGGGAUCUUUAUCUUUUAUCUUUAACUUGUAUAUAAUUAGAAUUACUGUUCUAGGAUCAUCUAAUAACGAAAAUGGUGUCAUUCGAGUGGAUUUGCUACGUAGAGAAAAUUUUUACUUCCAGAGCUUUAGGUCAAAGAUAUUCGGUUUUCGAGAUAGAUACGAAAAUUUGUGUUUGGUUAGUAAGGGUACUUUUAGAGAUUAAUUAAACAUGGCAUUAGCGUCGAUUGUAGAUUUGUACAGAAAUUCGAAUAUGGGCUUGACACGACAUUAUCAUCCACAUCAAUCGGCCGGUAUAAUUGGUAAGAGUUGUACAACAGUAACACGCAAAAUUACUGAUCUAUUGUCACAGAGAGAAUGAGAUCUUUCUGUUACUGGAACGAAAGCGCUGAUCUGCAUUAUUUAUUGGGGAAUAAUCAUCAGUUCUUAAUACGAAAAUUAUUCGGCAUUUGUAUUUUUUGAUAUGAGAACCGCGCAUUUCGAUCACAUUCCGCCUAGAGUGAAUUUGAAUUUUAACAGAUACUGUACGUAUUUAUUACCUAUACAAAGGCGUAACGUUUAACUGACGAUCUUUGAGAUUAUAGUUAUUAUGCGAGUCCUUUCGAAUAAUAAUUUACGUCGGGUGUUUCAAGGUAACAACAUCGCUGUGGUGGUUACCUUACGACCACCCAACGUAACAUAUUAGCCAGAUUUUAAAUAACGUACUACGUUACUACGACGUGUGUUUAUCGGAUCAUGGCUAUUAUUCGUCGUAUCUUGCCAAAUAUAUGUUAUACAUUAUUGUAUGCAGUAUCUGCACUAGAGUUCUUAGCGCCCCGAGCGAAAUUUUUUGUUGCGCCCCCUUAAGUCGUCAAUUAAAAAAAAAAAUUCAUAAAAAAUAUCGCACUUUACAGUCCGUUCACCGUUGAAAUUGUGUAAAAAAACAAUUGUCUUACUUCGAUGAUGAUAAUGUUGAGCCGGCCCUGAUUGUACGAAACGACCACGACGCGUUAUAAAACGCAUAAUGAACGUUGAAAUUUUGGUAAUCUAUGCACUAGCGCUUGAAUAUAAAUUUUAAAACUCCGAUAAUGGCGUGGGUUUUGACCACUUAGAAAAAUCCUUAUACACAUACAACCAUCGAUGGAUACAACUCGUCUUACGCGAGAGAACGGUAGAAGAAACUUCUGGUCAGAAAACAUAGAAAAUCUCUCGUAUUUUUAAAAUUCAAGGUAGUAUUUUGGUUUUAAAAAAAUCGAUAAAGUAAUCGAAUUAAUUACUUUUUGUUUAAAUAGAAGUACAGCAGAUUAUUCUAUCUCGAUGACGUCAAUAUAUCUUUGGGGAAUAAACCAUUUAACGUUCCGUUAACCAGAAGAUGGCAGCCGUUUACCGGUUUAUUUGUUAUUUCUCUAGAAACUCUCGUCCGAAUCUCCAUCGGCCGGAAUUCCGGUCCGUAUUUUUAAGAUUUUUAACAAUUUAAUAAUCGUCGGCGCGAAAAUUAAUCGAUUAUAAAUCUUAGCUAUUAUUUUUUCUUCGGAUAAUAUGGUAUCGGGCUGGAAGCGGUAUCGUAAAUAAAAUCUCGGAUGUUGUCAUGGCGUAUGUACUCGUAUUAUGUGGGAUUUUUAUAUAUCAGACAUAAACCGGCGAUUUUCUGGGGUUUGUCUGACCGACCAGGCCGAAUAAUCGAAUGAUGUCCGAUUCGAAAACUUAUCGGAUAAACGAGUGGUUAAGCCGAGAAGCAGUAACGACAGUAUUGCGCAUGCGGUCGUCCUUCCCAAAUGGUAAAAGGAUUUUUUUUUUUUAGUAAAACGACUUAUCCAGUUAUUUUUUGUCUAUCAAACAUAACAGUACGAAUAUUAAUAUGUAUGUAUUUGUUUCUACACGCUUAUUAUUUUUCGUCACAGUUAUACGAGACACGCGCCGUCAGACGAUUUUAUGCAAAUUUAAACUCGUCUUCGAGUUCCAUUAAUGAUCGCGUAUUGCUAAUGAUAUGUGCGUUAGUUUCGAAUCUGAUUUUAUUGUGUGCAGUGUGUUAAUUAACU